rnacentral:rRNA from 1 species
GUGAGGAAUAUUGGUCAAUGGGCGCAAGCCUGAUCCAGCAAUGCCGCGUGCAGGAAGAAGGCCUUCGGGUUGUAAACUGCUUUUGUACGGAACGAAACGGUCCUGGCUAAUAUCCGGGGCUAAUGACGGUACCGUAAGAAUAAGCACCGGCUAACUACGUGCCAGCAGCCGCGGUAAUACGUAGGGUGCAAGCGUUAAUCGGAAUUACUGGGCGUAAAGCGUGCGCAGGCGGUUAUAUAAGACAGAUGUGAAAUCCCCGGGCUCAACCUGGGAACUGCAUUUGUGACUGUAUAGCUAGAGUACGGUAGAGGGGGAUGGAAUUCCGCGUGUAGCAGUGAAAUGCGUAGAUAUGCGGAGGAACACCGAUGGCGAAGGCAAUCCCCUGGGCCUGCACUGACGCUCAUGCACGAAAGCGUGGGGAGCAAACAGGAUUAGAAACCCGGGUAGUCC